GCCAAGAUUUUGGUGUUGUGAAUCAAAUA
rnacentral:piRNA from 1 species